UACGUAGGGACCGAGCGUUGUCCGGAAUCAUUGGGCGUAAAGGGCGCGUAGGCGGCGCAACAAGUCACUUGUGAAAUCUCCGGGCUUAACCCGGAGCGGCCAAGUGAUACUGUCGUGCUAGAGUGCGGAAAGGGCUACUGGAAUUCUCGGUGUAGCGGUGAAAUGCGUAGAUAUCGAGAGGAACACCUGCGGCGAAGGCGGGUAGCUGGGCCGACACUGACGCUGAGGCGCGAAAGCCAGGGGAGCAAACGGG
rnacentral:rRNA from 1 species